rnacentral:rRNA from 1 species
CUACGGGAGGCACCAGUGGGGAAUAUUGGACAAUGGGCGAAAGCCUGAUCCAGCAAUACCGCGUGUGUGAAGAAGGCCUGAGGGUUGUAAAGCACUUUCAGUAAGGAGGAAAUCACUGAGGUUAAUACCCUUGGUAUUUGACGUUACUUACAGAAGAAGCACCGGCUAACUCCGUGCCAGCAGCCGCGGUAAUACGGAGGGUGCAAGCGUUAAUCGGAAUUACUGGGCGUAAAGCGCGCGUAGGCGGUUUGGUCAGUCAGAUGUGAAAGCCCCGGGCUCAACCUGGGAACUGCAUUUGAUACUGCUGAACUAGAGUGUGGUAGAGGGAAGUGGAAUUCCGGGUGUAGCGGUGAAAUGCGUAGAUAUCCGGAGGAACAUCAGUGGCGAAGGCGGCUUCCUGGACCAACACUGACGCUGAGGUGCGAAAGCGUGGGUAGCAAACAGGAUUAGAUACCCUUGUAGUC